GAGCUGCAGAAGCUUUGUGAUAAGGUUCCAUCAUUUCCAGAUGAUGUUGCUAUGGCCCUUAUAGAGGAGGAAUUGGGAGAACCGUGGUCUAACAUCUAUUCUGAGCUUUCUCCGUCCCCAAUUGCUGCUGCAUCCCUUGGGCAGGUUUAUAAGGGCCGACUGAAGGAGAAUGGAGACUUGGUUGCUGUUAAAGUACAGAGGCCCUUUGUCCUUGAGACAGUGACAGUUGAUCUAUUCAUCAUACGGAACUUGGGGCUAGUUCUUCGCAAGUUUCCGCAGAUUUCCAUUGAUGUGGUUGGAUUGGUUGAUGAAUGGGCUGCCCGGUUCUUCGAAGAACUUGACUAUGUGAAUGAAGGAGAAAAUGGAACAGUUUUUGCUGAGAUGAUGAAAAAAGACCUUCCUCAGGUUGUUGUCCCUAAGACAUAUAGCAAGUAUACUUCAAGGAAGGUUCUUACAACAGGAUGGAUUGAUGGAGAGAAGCUAUCACAAAGCACCGCAAGUGAUGUAGGUGAUUUGGUAAAUGUUGGAGUCAUAUGCUACCUUAAGCAGUUGCUUGACACUGGUUUCUUCCAUGCGGAUCCACAUCCAGGGAACUUAAUACGUACGCCAGAUGGAAAGCUAGCUGUACUUGACUUUG
rnacentral:misc_RNA from 1 species